rnacentral:rRNA from 1 species
UACGAAGGGUGCAAGCGUUACUCGGAAUUACUGGGCGUAAAGCGUGCGUAGGUGGUUUGUUAAGUCUGAUGUGAAAGCCCUGGGCUCAACCUGGGAAUGGCAUUGGAUACUGGCAGUCUAGAGUGCGGUAGAGGGUAGCGGAAUUCCCGGUGUAACAGUGAAAUGCGUAGAUAUCGGGAGGAACAUCCGUGGCGAAGGCGGCUACCUGGACCAGCACUGACACUGAGGCACGAAAGCGUGGGGAGCAAACAGG